AGGGCCCCCACGUAAGACAACAACCUGAAGAUACAAAAGGACCCCAACAUGGAGAGGCUGUGUGGGGUGAUGUUUAUUUAUCUCAUGCUGGGACUAGGGCAAGAACCACAGGGAAUGAAAUGUAUCAUCACAUGGACCAGUGAUCAGAAGAAUAGAUGCCAUUUUCCUGAGAUGGAGAAAACCAUAGGAAAAGGAAGUUUGAAGUAAACCAAGAGUCCUAUGAAGAACAAGAUAAGUUUGAAAUUUCUAUGUUUCAUUUAAGUGGAGACAUGAAGUAAAAAACAGACCUGUUUUACAGACCUGGAAUUUAAAUCGUUAAAGUGUAUAUAAGUAACUUGCUGAAAGUUACACAGCUGCUAGAUUUCAGAAAUUUCUUGGCAAGCUACUAGUCAACUGCAGAAAUGCAUCUGCUCAGAAACCCAAAAAUAAACAUGUUUCCCAGAGGAAUGAAGUAUGUUCUAUAAAAUCCUGGCCCGUUCAUGGAAUGUGGUCACCUUGUUCUAGCAAAUAGAAACUGAGUCAACGUGAAAAGAGUCAGAAUUUGGACAAAGUCAUCAAACAUUCACACUGAUGCCAGAGACAGAGAGAGAGAGGCAGAGGGAGAAGCAGGCUUCCCAUGGAGCAGGGAGCCGGAUGCAGGACUCGAUCCCAGGACCCUGAGAUCAUGACCCGAGCCGAAGGCAGACGCUUAACCAUCUGAGCCACCCAGGAACCCCACACGGCAAGGAAUCAUUCCUUCUAACUACCCACUACGGUGACUCAACUUGUCUAUUAUAUUAGAAAUAUUGUAUAAGAAAAGAGAGAAGGGGAAUUCACCUAGAAAAUUAGCUAACAAUCAUCAUACUAAUCCAUUUCCAUGAACCAUUAUGACACAUCUUAAGAUAGCCCCGCAGAAAUCACACAGAAAUUUGGGCUACAAAACAAAUAUCUAUAUUGAUACUAUAUUUUUUAUUAAUCUUCCAGUUUUUUAAACUAUUUUAAACAGCCAUCUGUAAUAUGUUUCCAUGAAAUUUAAUGGUACUUCCUUCUAGUGAUGAUAUGCCUAUCACUGUUUCCCACUAAAUUCCUAACAACACGACCUUUGUCAGCAAACUUGGGUAAAAAAUGAGUGUUUAGACUAUGUGCUUACCAUUAGCCAAUAGCUUCUUGAUGUUCACACCUCUAAGGACUGAACCCAUUGGCCCUAAAGAGAGAUUUCUGUUCAGAAUAACAAAUCGAUUUUUAAAAUUAUGAAA